rnacentral:rRNA from 1 species
GAAAACUGACGNUGAGGCGCGAAAGCCAGGGGAGCGAACGGGAUUAGAUACCCCGGUAGUCCUGNCCGUAAACGAUGGGUACUAGGUGUAGGAGGUAUCGACCCCUUCUGUGCCGGAGUUAACGCAAUAAGUACCCCGCCUGGGGAGUACGACCGCAAGGUUGAAACUCAAAGGAAUUGACGGGGGCCCGCACAAGCGGUGGAGUAUGUGGUUUAAUUCGACGCAACGCGAAGAACCUUACCAGGUCUUGACAUUGAUGGACAGAACCAGAGAUGGUUCCUCUUCUUCGGAAGCCAGAAAACAGGUGGUGCACGGUUGUCGUCAGCUCGUGUCGUGAGAUGUUGGGUUAAGUCCCGCAACGAGCGCGACCCCUAUCUUAUGUUGCCAGCACUUUGGGUGGGGACUCAUGUGAGACUGCCGCAGAUAAUGCGGAGGAAGGCGGGGAUGACGUCAAAUCAUCAUGCCCCUUAUGACCUGGGCUACACACGUACUACAAUGGGAGUUAAUAGACGGAAGCGAGAUCGCGAGAUGGAGCAAACCCGAGAAACACUCUCUCAGUUCGGAUCGUAGGCUGCAACUCGCCUACGUGAAGUCGGAAUC